UACGAAGGGAGCUAGCGUUGUUCGGAAUUACUGGGCGUAAAGGGCGCGUAGGCGGCCUUGUAAGUCAGAUGUGAAAGCCCCGGGCUUAACCUGGGAACUGCAUUUGAUACUGCAAGGCUAGAGAAUGUGAGAGGUAAGUGGAAUUAUGAGUGUAGAGGUGAAAUUCGUAGAUAUUCAUAAGAACAUCAGUGGCGAAGGCGGCUUACUGGCACAUUACUGACGCUAAGGCGCGAAAGCGUGGGGAGCAAACAGG
rnacentral:rRNA from 1 species